rnacentral:rRNA from 1 species
UGGUAGGGAUGAUUAUUGGGCUUAAAGCGUCCGUAGCCGGCCCGGCAAGUCUCCCGUUAAAUCCAGCGACCUAAUCGUUGAGCCGCGGGAGACACUACUAGGCUAGGAGGCGGGAGAGGCCGACGGUAUUCUCGGGGUAGGGGUGAAAUCCUAUAAUCCCGGGAGGACCACCAGUGGCGAAG